GCCUUCGUGGUGAAUGGUGAGCACACUCGGCCGGUAUUAAUCCAAGAGGUCCAAGGUUCGAGUCCCGGCGAGGGCA
rnacentral:tRNA from 1 species